rnacentral:rRNA from 1 species
UACGGGGGGGGCAAGCGUUGUUCGGAAUUACUGGGCGUAAAGGGCUCGUAGGCGGCCAACUAAGUCGGAUGUGAAAUCCCCAGGCUUAACCUGGGAACUGCAUCCGAUACUGGAUGGCUUGAAUUCGGGAGAGGGAUGCAGAAUUCCAGGUGUAGCGGUGAAAUGCGUAGAUAUCUGGAGGAACACCGGUGGCGAAGGCGGAUCUCUGGGCCUUACCUGACGCUGAGGCGCGAAAGCUAGGGGAGCAAACAGG